CACACACACCAAACAAGAUCUCGCGACAAAAUAAUCCCCCAUAAUACCAGAGAGUUUAAAGAGGCUUUGCCAAUGCCCCCCUCCUCCCCCCUCUCCCUUACACACACACACACACACACUCAUACACACCUCCUUUUGCUCUUAUGAAAAAAGGAGGGGGAGAAAAAGGGGGGGAAAAUGGGAGGGGCGGUGAAGACAUCAGAAGAAAGCUGUUAAAUUCGCCCCUCAGUCUCGUUUGGGAUUGCUAAUUAUUGUUUUUACAGUACAACAAUCGGGGUAUUAGUGCAUAAGCGGCUGGAGAUAACAUCCAGGAGGUGGCGAGGGGGCUGAAAGGGGAGAAAGGGUGUGGGGGAGAAAGAUAAUGGUUCGACAGAAGGGGAGCUAUGAUAGGGUCGGGUCCAUGGCGCCGUCUCUGCUGCCUCUGCAACAACACACCACAGUAUCAGGAGACUCACUGCCGCCUCCAAGGAGCCUGAAAAGUGAAGGAAACUUGAGGGGGGAAAGUUUCAAAUGUUGGACAGUUUGUGGGUUGGAAAAAAACUAGAGAGAGUCAAGUGAAGGAGAACGGAUCCACAACAGAACACUUCUCUUUACUGGGGGAGGAAACAGACACAAUAUCGUGUCAAAAUCGCAAAAAGGCUCAACACCUUAACCAGGCGCUUAUCCAGGCAGUUAAUCAGGCGCUUAACUAGGCUCAACUGGCAGGUUGAUCCGUCCUCUUCCUCAACUUUCUUCAUGUUUCACAAAUUAAAAUGACUUAUUUAUUAAAUAAUUUCCCUUCAUCCCAAUGCCAGAUUGUAUUGCCAAUCAUAGGGCCGGGCAGACAAACUGUUAUUGCAGUAAUAAACUCAAAUUCUUUUUCAGAGACUGUAUGAGUCUCUUACUAUUACGCAGCCAUCCGGAUUUAUGGAAACAUCAAUCAUUAAAACCAUGUUUUGUCUGGUUAAAAGCAAUUGUGAGAGGUUUUAACACACUUGUUUUGCUGUGACGAGCCUUUGGUUGUUACAAUACACGUGCGUGUCGUCAGCAUGGCAAUGCGAUGCACGCUUUUGUUUUCUUAGGAUGUGGCAGAUCGGUGCCCUAAAGGACUAAAGUGCUUAAAAUUCUGAUCCAUGUGUAACUCUGUAUUUGACCUUUGAACAUAGAGACACAGUAUUCUGUCACUCAGUUUUGACUUUAGCAGCAAGAUUUGGUUUAUGUAACAUAUUUCAUUUUGUUUCGGUGAAGAUGAAGGACUAACAUAUUAUGAGUACUAAAAGGCAGGUGAUGGCUUGAGCCCCAGGGGCGAGAAUAGAGCAUCGUGGAAAACACACACACACACACACACACAUUGGCUUUUAUCCGGGGAAUGAGCAGGCCAGCCAAAGUCAUCUGGAAGCUUCCACAUGCCAAUGAAUAAAUAAAGGUCUAAUUAGAGAAGAAAACAGCGCUACCUGUUGGUGUCCAACCUUUGUGAACUAAGACCAUCACAGCGUGCGAUGGGAAGCACCUGAGCCUGCUGAGGCUUUACGUUAAAGAGCUGGCAUGGCUCUCACACACAAUGUGUGUGUGUCAAUGUGUUAGAGACAACCUUUUUGAGAUAUGGGCCACCCGUGUAACCGUGUGUGUUGUCUGCCUUUCAUUUGUAAAGAGGCUUUCUGACCAUAUGUGUUGGUAUCGUGUGUGUGUGUGUGUGCUCCUCUGUGUGUACGCGACGGGGUCCAACUGCGUGUCCUGGGGCCCACCUGGCAGCGCUGUGCAGAUUCCCGGGCCAGAGCAGCUGGCCUGGGGGCUGGUGAGGGUGUUUGGUGGGGGUCGCUUUAAGAGGCGUACGGGGGUCUUCUAAGGCCCCCGUCCCACUGGACCCAGACAGUGGGAGGCAGAUGGACAGGCCACUGCCAGAGGGCCACUGAGCCAGAGGGGCCACGGGGCCACGGGGCCACAGGGCCGAGGGAGAGGGCCAACCGAGCUCACUUACACACAAGAAAACCCACAAUAAAAAAUAAAUGGAACACCUGUGGACUAAAGGUCUUGUUAGAAACAUUUUACGUAGACGUAUUAAUUGGGUGUUUUCUAUAAUAUUGUAAAAUUUCAAUUUCAUUUCACUGUGUCCUUUCAGUCUCUGAAAAUUACUUCAUUUGCAAAUAAACUGCUGCAGGGUGGGAAGGCGCUGGAAGCCGUUCCUAGCUGACGUGCUUGUGGUCGGUGGAAUGGAACCCGGUGCAGCCGCUCAUGGCCCUCAGAGGACGGAGCAAAAUCAGGUUGGUGAUCUCGGACAUUUCAUUCAUUGCCAUCGUAGGAUCAAAAUCCCCGGUGGUUAAACAGUUUACCCGUCAACAGGUCAGCAUUGUCGACAUGUCAGCACGUUUAGAAACGAGCUUCGGAGCGGACGGACGGGAUCGCUGGAAGACAGAAUGGAAAACACUUCAUUGAUAUGCAAGACUGCACCGUAUGACACCCAGAGGCUCCUGAACACACAUCGACCAACCAGGAAGCCUCUUUCAUAACCUUCCAGUUGAGAAUGCAAAGGAAGAAAGGUGUUUCUUGAUAGCAAUGUCCAGGAACACCGCCAUGCGGGAGGGCUGCUUUUGAGGAACUGAUGAAUGUGCUACGAGUGUAGGAUUGAUACAGAGCUUAUUGUGAACACACACUAUAGGUGGUGGUGGUGGUGGUGUGGGAAGUAGCCACCGGCUCCAAUAGUCCAGAGAGCCACAGAUGCUCCACUGUUUGUGUGUUGACUCUCUGUAAUUUGUUUGCUCUAAUUUGUUUUGCCGUGCCAGGGGACUUCCGAUUUUAAUUUUGCUCUGUGUGUGUUUACCCCUCUUUGUGGAUCGCUGAUCUGUUAAGCAUAGAGAGAGAGAGAGGGAGGAAGAGAGGGAGAGAGAGAGAGAGAGGGAGAGAGGGAGAGACAGUCGGUGUGGAGGGUGAAUUGUUCAGAGAGCCAAAUUAAAAAAAGGAGCAGUGCAGAUUGUUUUAAGCUCUGGCAGCCCCUUCAGGCCCACAGGCCUCGCUCGCAGCCGGCACCUGCUCCAUCCCCCGGGAGCCGGGUUCCUGAUCCGUGGCCCUCGCUUCUCCUCCCCGGGCUCCCAGCCCAGUCUUCUCCUUCGCCUCCGCUUAUUCAUUUCCUACUUGUAUUUUCCUUGACUUCUUUUUCUCCUCCCCAUCAACUUCUGUCCUUUUCCUUCGCGGCCUCCAUCCUCCUCCUAAACUUAAACUCUCCUUUCCAUAAACCCUCCAGAUGCUCCUGUCCCUUUCCCCCGGUGACUCGCUUCUACUCCUUCCUGCCUCAGUGAUGGCCUCUUCACCCCCUUUUUCCUUUCCACCACCUGCUCCUCCCCUCCUCUUUAUCUUCUCUUCAAUUGUUGUGCUUUUUCUUUUCUUUCCGCUCAACUUCCUCCUAUCGCUAUUUCUUUCUGACAUUUUCUCGUCCAGUGUGGACUCCUUGUUGCUCCUCCACAUCUCGCCUCGAGCAACUGGAAGAGUCUUAAUCAGCCCCCCCCUCUUCGCCUGAAUGCAACCCCACAUAUCCAAAUAAAAUAUAGCUAGAGAUAUGACAAUGUAACUAUUACAGUGUGAUAUGACAUGAACACCUUUUUUAUCAACCCCAUAAGGAUGCAAACGACAGCCUGUUUAAAAUUGUCACAGCUAUUCUUUAUUGAAACCAACCGGUCGCUCCAGUAUAUGACUGCACGGACGAAAGUAGUUCGAUCAGUCAGUCGGCUCUACAUACAGCAUGGUACACGUUGUCACACACACACAACAUUAGCAUUACCCGGGGAGUAAUGCUUUGAUAACGAGACAUUUAGUUUUAAUAUGGCUUGAUUGAAGCAGUCCAACGGUGUGUGAUGCCCCGGCUGGAUGUGUCGAUCCAGACCAGCGGCGGGUGGGGAUAUGAACCGCGGGGGGCCGAGGGG
ensembl:lncRNA